CUUGGUCAUUUAGAGGAAGUAAAAGUCGUAACAAGGGUUUCCGUAGGUGAACCUGCGGAAGGAUCAUUAACGAGUAACUGAACGGGUUGUAGCUGGCCUUUCGGGGCAUGUGCACACCUGGCUCAUCCACUCUUCAACCUCUGUGCACUUGUUGUAGGUCGGUAGAAGAGCGAGCAUUUAAUGCUUGCUUGGAAGCCUUCCUAUGUUUUACUACAAACGCUUCAGUUUAAGAAUGUUUACCUGCGUAUAACGCAUUUAUAUACAACUUUCAGCAACGGAUCUCUUGGCUCUCGCAUCGAUGAAGAACGCAGCGAAAUGCGAUAAGUAAUGUGAAUUGCAGAAUUCAGUGAAUCAUCGAAUCUUUGAACGCACCUUGCGCUCCCUGGUAUUCCGGGGAGCAUGCCUGUUUGAGUGUCAUGGUAUUCUCAACCUUCAUAACUUUUGUUAUCGAAGGCUUGGACUUGGAGGUUGUGCUGGCUUCUAGUUAAGUCGGCUCCUCUUAAAUGUAUUAGCGUGAGUGUAACGGAUCGCUUCGGUGUGAUAAUUAUCUGCGCCGUGGUCGUGAAGUAACAUAAGCUUGCGCUUCUAACCGUCCUUCAGUUGGACAAUUACUUUGACAUCUGACCUCAAAUCAGGUAGGACUACCCGCUGAACUUAAGCAUAUCAAUAAGCGGAGGAAAAGAAACUAACAAGGAUUCCCCUAGUAACUGCGAGUGAAGCGGGAAAAGCUCAAAUUUAAAAUCUGGCAGUCUUUGGCUGUCCGAGUUUGUAUCCGGGAGUAGCGUCUUCCGUGCUGGACCGUGUACAAGUCUCCUGAUUAUCUGCGCCGUGGUCGUGAAGUAACAUAAGCUUGCGCUUCUAACCGUCCUUCAGUUGGACAAUUACUUUGACAUCUGACCUCAAAUCAGGUAGGACUACCCGCUGAACUUAAGCAUAUCAAUAAGCGGAGGAAAAGAAACUAACAAGGAUUCCCCUAGUAACUGCGAGUGAAGCGGGAAAAGCUCAAAUUUAAAAUCUGGCAGUCUUUGGCUGUCCGAGUUUGUAUCCGGGAGUAGCGUCUUCCGUGCUGGACCGUGUACAAGUCUCCUG
rnacentral:rRNA from 1 species